GCCCAGAUAGCUCAGUCGGUAGAGCAGGGGACUGAAAAUCCCCGUGUCGGUGGUUCGAUUCCGCCUCUGGGCACCC
rnacentral:tRNA from 1 species